rnacentral:lncRNA from 1 species
CCUGGUUGACCACAGACCACACCCCCACCUCACUGCCCACUGGUUGGCAGCCAGCCCUGUCCUCUCCCGGGGCUGGGCUCCCAGGGCUCUGGUUGUCAGUUAAGCAGCCCUGACAGCUGACAGCUUUCCGGAGCAGCCGGAGCCCAGUUAGCGUUCCUUCUCUCUUUUUUUUUUUCCUGCUCUUCCUUUCCCCUGGUGUUGUUGCAAGACUGGAAGCCUGACUGGAAUUUAAAGCAAGGCUUUGGGAUAAAAAUGUAUGCUAGCACCAAGCCGUGCUCUCCCAGCCUCCCAAUUCAGAUUGACAGCUGCCCACUUUCCGGGUCUGAGAACAGAACAACUGCCGAUUGUUAGAGGAAAGGUCUGGAGUACGAAGGUCAGAGAUGUGGGUCCACUCCCUCACCCUCCAAAGGGUGUGAUUUGCCACAGGAUGGCAGCAGCAUUCGACCCUGUGAAGUUCCUAUUGAGGACCCAGAGGAACAGGGACAGCAGGGCUCCAACUGCUGCAGCCCCACUCCAGCAGAACCCCGGACAGCUUCUGGAACUGCCUGGAGACCUGCUUCCGCAUCAGUGUUGGAGACUGCUGGUGACAGGUGAGCAGAGCAUCUUGGAACAGAAACACAGUAAAAAGGGGAGGAGCAGAGCUUGGGGAAGCACUGUCAUCCUCUAGGGCUAGAGAGACUCUCUGAAAAACAUUUGCGGCCCCGUGUAGCCUAGGAAAAUAAGGUUCAGCGAACAUUUCACUUAUCCACCAUGUAAUAGACAUUGGCUGGCUCAGUCUGGGAGAAUGUGAUAUUUAUUUAUAAGCCGACAGGGAGAAUAUCAGAUAAGUAAUUAUGAACCCUGAAGAAGAAGGCCCGUUCCCUAAGCCAGCUAGAUGAAUAUAUGAAAGGAACUAUUUUUUAAAUGGGAGAAUAUUGCUUCCACAUACUUUAUUUUAGAAUAAAAAGUUCUGAAUAAACA